rnacentral:lncRNA from 1 species
AGGCUGGAGUACAGUGGCGCGAUCUCGGCUCACUGCAACCUCCGCUUCCCGGGUUCAAGCGAUUCUCCUGUCUCAGCCUCCCGAGUAGCUGGGAUUACAGGUGCCCGCCACCACACCCGCCACCACACCCGGCUAAUUUUUGUAUUUUUAGUAGAGACGGGAUUUCACCAUCUUGGCCAGGCUGGUCUUGAACUCCUGACCUCGUGAUCCACCCACCUCAGCCUCCC